UACGUAGGGGGCUAGCGUUGUCCGGAUUUAUUGGGCGUAAAGAGCUCGUAGGUGGUUCGGUAAGUCGGGUGUGAAAUCUCGGAGCUUAACUCCGAAACUGCAUUCGAUACUGCCGUGCUUGAGGACUGGAGAGGAGACUGGAAUUUACGGUGUAGCGGUGAAAUGCGUAGAUAUCGUAAGGAAGACCAGUGGCGAAGGCGGGUCUCUGGACAGUUCCUGACGCUGAGGCACGAAAGCGUGGGGAGCAAACAGG
rnacentral:rRNA from 1 species